GCAACGAGCGCAACCCUUAUCCUUUGUUGCCAGCGAUUAGGUCGGGAACUCAAAGGAGACUGCCAGUGAUAAACUGGAGGAAGGUGGGGAUGACGUCAAGUCAUCAUGGCCCUUACGACCAGGGCUACACACGUGCUACAAUGGCGCAUACAAAGAGAAGCGACCUCGCGAGAGCAAGCGGACCUCAUAAAGUGCGUCGUAGUCCGGAUUGGAGUCUGCAACUCGACUCCAUGAAGUCGGAAUCGCUAGUAAUCGUGGAUCAGAAUGCCACGGUGAAUACGUUCCCGGGCCUUGUACACACCGCCCGUCACACCAUGGGAGUGGGUUGCAAAAGAAGUAGGUAGCUUAACCUUCGGGAGGGCGCUUACCACUUUGUGAUUCAUGACUGGGGUGAAGUCGUAACAAGGUAACCGUAGGGGAACCUGCGGUUGGAUCACCUCCUUACCUGAAAGAA
rnacentral:rRNA from 1 species